CUUGACCGAGCCGAGCCACAGCGGCUGGUCGGCGGGUCGGUCCUGACCGUAGGUCGCCAGCAGUGCCUGCGCCUC
rnacentral:antisense_RNA from 1 species